rnacentral:rRNA from 1 species
CGAGAUCUACACGUAAGGAGUCGUCGGCAGCGUCAGAUGUGUAUAAGAGACAGUCCCAUACGGGUUGAAGCAUGACCGUAAGGACAUGUGGACAGUAUGGGAGUGAGAAUGUUGGCAUGAGUAGCGAGAUGUGGGUGAGAAUCCCACAGGCCGUAAACCCAAGGUUUCCAGGGGAAGGUUCGUCCGCCCUGGGUUAGUCGGGACCUAAGCUGAGGCCGAAAGGCGUAGGUGAUGGACAACAGGUUGAUAUUCCUGUACUACCGAUAACCGUUUGAGAGAAGGGAUGACACAGUAGGAUAAGCUAAGCACACUGUUGGUUAUGUGUGCCCAAGCAUUGAGGCAGUCAAAGUAGGCAAAUCCGCUUUGAUAAUGCUGGGAUGUGAUGGGGAGCGAAAUUUAGUAGCGAAGUAGCUGAUUUCACACUGUCAAGAAAAGUCUCUAUCGAGGUUAAAGGUACCCGUACCGCAAACCGACACAGGUGGGUGAGGAGAGUAUCCUAAGGCCAGCGAGAGAACUGUUGUUAAGGAACUCGGCAAAAUGACCCCGUAACUUAGGGAUAAGGGGUGCCACCAUCAGGUGGCCGCAGAGAAUAGGCCCAAGCGACUGUUUACCAAAAACAUAGGUUUCUGCUAAGUCGCAAGACGAUGUAUAGGAGCUGACGCCUGCCCGGUGCUGGAAGGUUAAGGGGAUCUGUUAGAGCAAUCGAAGCAGUGAACUUAAGCCCCAGUAAACGGCGGCCGUAACUAUAACGGUCCUAAGGUAGCGAAAUUCCUUGUCGGGUAAGUUCCGACCCGCACGAAAGGCGUAACGAUUUGGGCACUGUCUCAACAACAGACUCGGUGAAAUUGUAAUUCCGGUGAAGAUGCCGGAUACCUGCGACAGGACGGAAAGACCCCAUGGAGCUUUACUGUAGCUUGACAUUGGGUCUUGGUACUACAUGUACAGGAUAGGUGGGAGGCUUUGAAACCAGGACGCCAGUUUUGGCGGAGCCAUCCUUGGGAUACCACCCUUGUAGUACUGGGACUCUAACCAUAGGCCAUGAAUCUGGUCUUGGGACACUGUCAGGUGGGCAGUUUGACUGGGGCGGUCGCCUCCCAAAAGGUAACGGAGGCGCUCAAAGGUUCUCUCAGUACGGUCGGAAAUCGUACGUAGAGUGUAAAGGCAAAAGAGAGCUUGAUUGCAAGACAUACAGGUCGAGCAAGGAUGAAAAUCGGACUUAGUGAUCCGGUGGUUCUGCGUGGAAGGGCCAUCGCUCAACGGAUAAAAGCUACCCUGGGGAUAACAGGCUUAUCUCCCCCAAGAGUCCACAUCGACGGGGAGGUUUGGCACCUCGAUGUCGGCUCAUCACAUCCUGGGGCUGUAGUAGGUCCCAAGGGUUGGGCUGUUCGCCCAUUAAAGUGGUACGCGAGCUGGGUUCAGAACGUCGUGAGACAGUUCGGUCCCUAUCCGUCGCAGGCGUAGGAAAUUUGAGAAGACCUGUCCUUAGUACGAGAGGACCGGGAUGGACGUACCUCUGGUGUACCAGUUG